AGGCGUCACUCAAAGAAACAUGGCGGCGCACAUCAGCAGAGUUGUCAAACGGCUUGCUCCGCAGGAGAGCGGCUGGCUCCUGCCUGCAGCCUGGCAGCUGUAUGCAGUAGGAUGGCGUGGUCACCAUCAAACUGCAGGCCCCUCGCUGCGCUACAUACCCCGCAGGGCGGUCCUGUACUGCCCUGGCAAUGACGAGCGGAAGCUGAGGAAACUAACCUCGCUGGAUGUCGACUGUGCUGUCUUGGACUGUGAGGAUGGGGUAGCCCUCAGCAAAAAGACGGAGGCCAGGGAAACCAUUUCUAAGAUGCUGGGGGAGCUGGACCUGGGCCGGACAGAAAAGUGUGUAAGGGUUAACUCAGUGUCCAGCGGCCUUGCUGAGGCUGACCUGCAGGUCAUUCUGCAAGCUGAGGUGCUCCCUCCUGCCGUCAUGCUGCCCAAAGUGGAGGACACACAGGAGGUGCAGUGGUUUGUUGACAGGUUUCAGCACCACUUGAAAGGACGGGCGCUGACAGAGCCCAUUCGCCUGGUCACCUUCGUGGAAACCGCUGUGGGCCUGCUCAAUUUUAAGGCGGUGUGUGAGGAGGUGCAUCGGCUUGCUCCCAAGGCCAGCCUCCACCAUGACGGCGUGGUGUUUGGCUCUGAUGACUUCUGUGCCAGUAUAGGUGCCAGUCGGACUAAGGAUGCCAAGGAGCUUCUUUAUGCACGGCAGAAGGUGGUAGUGACCACCAAGGCUUUUGGGCUGCAGGCCAUUGACCUGGUCUACAUCGACUACAAAGAUCAGGAGGGGCUAAGACAGCAGGCCAGAGAAGGAGCUCUCAUGGGCUUCACAGGUAAGCAGGUAAUCCACCCAGGGCAGAUCCAGGCUGUGCAGGAGGAGUUUUCUCCCAGCAAGGAGAGGGUACAGUGGGCCAAAGAGCUCAUCGCUGCCUUUGACCAACACCAGAAGGAGGGAAAGGGUGCGUUCACCUUCCGUGGCAGCAUGAUUGACAUGCCCUCGCUGAAGCAGGCGCAGAACAUCAUAACACUGUCCGCCGCCGUGCCAGAGAAAUAAAACUAGAGGAGACAAGAAACUGGAGGGACUACACAGUUCAAAGGAGACAGGAGAAGUUAAAGGGGACCUGAUAACACCAGAAACUUUGCAGUGUGUGUGCCCAUGCCUCCCACCUCUCCUGGGUCAUGACGGAUGCUCUCCCAUCUCCAGGAUCCAGGCAGCUGGGCGAAAGGGUAAACAAACACAACAAGCCACUGUUGUUGAUCUAUUCAGCCAGGGCAUGGCGGGCCCCAGCCUUCAAGCCAGGCCUCAGCCCGGGCCUCAACCCCCUGCCCAGGCCCUGACUCACAAACAUCAAAGUCCUGUUUGCUAAAAAGUCUCAGUGGAAGUGUUUAGACUAACCAUUUAGCUUUUGUUUCAGUCGCCUUAGCAAACCCUUGCAGCUCUCUGUGUCAUCUGUGAGCCUGUGUUCUUGGUGUAGAGGGUAGACACACAGGAUGUACGAAAAACAAUAGCAUGACCAUGUGCAUGUAUGCAAAACAACUGCGUAUCUGCACAUGUUGCAACAGUUUUCUUUACUUGGACUUUGAUAAGGACUGUUCAGCACUGUAAGAGGACAAAUAUUGCAAAAACAGAUAAAUGCCAUAAUUGACCCCCCAAAAAGAUGUUUGAUAUUAAGUACUUUCUGAAUCCAAAAUGCUAAAUUUUGUCACAACAGCCAAUAUCACCUUUGCAUUAGCCCGUUUAUAUAA